GCCUGCUUAGCAUAGUGGCUAAUGCGUUGCACUUGUAUCCAGUGAUGGAUUUUGAGAGAUGCAAAGAUCACAGGUUCGAUUCCUGUAGUAGGCA